rnacentral:tRNA from 1 species
AGAAACUUAGGUUAGACAAAACCAAGAGCCUUCAAAGCCCUAAACAGGGGAAAACGAAGCCCCCUAGUUUCUG